rnacentral:rRNA from 1 species
CUACGGGUUGCUGCAGUGGGGAAUAUUGGACAAUGGGGGAAACCCUGAUCCAGCAAUGCCGCGUGUGUGAAGAAGGCCUGCGGAUUGUAAAGCACUUUCGGUUGGGAGGACUGCUUCUAGCACUAAUAUUGUUGGAAGUUGACGUUACCUUCAGAAGAAGCACCGGCUAACUCCGUGCCAGCAGCCGCGAUAAUACGGAGGGUGCAAGCGUUAAUCGGAAUUACUGGGCGUAAAGCGCGCGUAGGCGGCUAGAUCAGUCGGGUGUGAAAGCCCCGGGCUUAACCUGGGAACUGCAUCCGAUACUGUCUAGCUUGAGUACAGGAGAGGAGAGUGGAAUUCCACAUGUAGCGGUGAAAUGCGUAGAUAUGUGGAGGAACACCAAUGGCGAAGGCAGCUCUCUGGCCUGAUACUGACGCUGAGGUGCGAAAGCGUGGGGAGCAAACAGGAUUAGAUACCCGCGUAGUC